CCUCAACACAGUACUUCUCGCGUUGUGUGCUCAAACCGUAUGAGCAAUAGAACAAACUCAUCGGGAGUUGACGAUUCGUCGCGGUUUAACUCAGAGGUCUUUUUAGCCACCGCAAUUGUAAAGGUGGAAGAUAAUGAUAAAAAUAUACAUUUCGCGCGUGUAGUCUUAGAUAAUUGCUCUCAGUGUAACUUCAUUUCGGAGGCGUUAGCCUCAAAGCUUCGACUGAGCAGAGUGAAGACCAAUAUGGAAGUGGUCGGCAUUGGACCUGGAAAGAGCACCGUUUUCGGGUACGUCGUUUCGGGCAUGUAUACAGGAUCCGGAGGAAACCCGUCUUUGUGUAUCAUCAGCAAUAGUAGUAGAUUAGAUGAGAGUAUUGUCACCGGAUGACAGAUGGUGUGAAGAACACUUCAAUCGCACGGUGGCGCGGCGUGACGACGGUCGGUAUGUGGUGCGGUUGCCAAUACGUGAAGAUCGGAGAGAAUUCCUUGGUGACUCAUACCAGCUAGCACAACGUCGGUUUCUAGCAGCUGAGAGGCGAUUCGGGUACAAUCAACAGCUGCGCGACCAGUACUCACGAUUCAUGGAUGAAUACGCGAUGCUCGGACACAUGGAACCCGGUAUACGAACAGGAAAUGAGACGCGCCGUCCACGAUUUUUGGAAACGAUGGACACGGGAUUACGUUCAUCAUUUGCAUCAACGACUGGCACAAAGAGGAGCGCAACUACCGCGUCGGCGAGUUAGUUUUGCUGAAACAAGAGAACAUGCCACCACUCCAAUGGAAUCUCGGAAGAAUUAUCGCCACGCAUCAGGCAGCGACGGUCGGUGCAGAGUCGUCAACGUGCAGACGGCCAGGGGAGUGUACAGACGAGCAAUAACAGAAGUUUGCGUACUUCCUGUAGACGUGGACCCCAUGUCAUCAAGAGUCGAUACAAUAGAAGAUGCAGUGCAAAGCGCGACAGGGCAACCUCCCCAGCCAAGUCCAACGGUCUGACAGAAUCUCGGUUCAAAGGAGCGGUUGAAGAAACUAGCGAUUAGUCUAAUAGGUCAAUGGUCAAUAAUAGUCCAAUGGUUCAACGGGGGGAGUAUGUUUGAUCAUUUUCAUUCACGUUGGGAAACCCUCUUAUAACGCCCUAUUUGAACCACUACAAAUAACCAAGACUGCGUCAAAACGUUUCCGGUAGAAUUGCAAGUAGUUUAGUGACAUUCUAUAUGAACUAUUAUAUCUAAAAAUAUUGAAGUAGUAUUAGUUUUAAGUUGCCAGGUCAAGACGAAUUUAGACCGAAAUAAAUCGACACUUGGAUUUCGA